GACGAACGCUGGCGGCGUGCCUAAUACAUGCAAGUAGAACGCUGAAGGAGGAGCUUGCUCUUCUGGAUGAGUUGCGAACGGGUGAGUAACGCGUAGGUAACCUGCCUGGUAGCGGGGGAUAACUAUUGGAAACGAUAGCUAAUACCGCAUAAUAGUAGAUGUUGCAUGACAUUUACUUAAAAGGUGCAAUUGCAUCACUACCAGAUGGACCUGCGUUGUAUUAGCUAGUUGGUGGGGUAACGGCUCACCAAGGCGACGAUACAUAGCCGACCUGAGAGGGUGAUCGGCCACACUGGGACUGAGACACGGCCCAGACUCCUACGGGAGGCAGCAGUAGGGAAUCUUCGGCAAUGGACGAAAGUCUGACCGAGCAACGCCGCGUGAGUGAAGAAGGUUUUCGGAUCGUAAAGCUCGGUUGUAAGAGAAGAACGAGUGUGAGAGUGGAAAGUUCACACUGUGACGGUAUCUUACCAGAAAGGGACGGCUAACUACGUGCCAGCAGCCGCGGUAAUACGUAGGUCCCGAGCGUUGUCCGGAUUUAUUGGGCGUAAAGCGAGCGCAGGCGGUUAGAUAAGUCUGAAGUUAAAGGCUGUGGCUUAACCAUAGUACGCUUUGGAAACUGUUUAACUUGAGUGCAAGAGGGGAGAGUGGAAUUCCAUGUGUAGCGGUGAAAUGCGUAGAUAUAUGGAGGAACACCGGUGGCGAAAGCGGCUCUCUGGCUUGUAACUGACGCUGAGGCUCGAAAGCGUGGGGAGCAAACAGG
rnacentral:rRNA from 1 species